rnacentral:rRNA from 1 species
UACGAAGGGUGCAAGCGUUGCUCGGAAUUAUUGGGCGUAAAGGGUUGGUAGGUGGUCUUGUUUGUCUAAGGUGAAAUCCCAUGGCUUAACUGUGGAAGUGCCUUAGAAACGGCAAGACUAGAGUCCUAGAGGGGUUUGUGGAAUUCCCGGUGUAGCGGUGAAAUGCGUAGAGAUCGGGAGGAACACCAGCGGCGAAGGCGGCAAACUGGAUAGGCACUGACACUCAACAACGGAAGGCGUGGGGAGCAAACAGG